GACCGCAUAGCGUAGUGGGUUCUAGCACGUUUGACUUCAGAUCAAAAGGUCUUGUGUUCGACUCCCAUUGUGGUCG
rfam:Picea glauca, whole genome shotgun sequence.